GUAACCUGCUCACUGAUAUUUAAUAAAUUUAAUAAUAAAUAUUGAAGAGCCGCGGUAACUCUGACCGUGCUAAGGUAGCAUAAUCAAUCGCCUCUUAAUUGGAGGCUAGAAUGAAAGGAAUAACGAGCUCCCCCCUGUCUCAAGCACAGGCAAGUCAAAAUNNCCUCGUUAAGACGCGAGGGUGUCCUGGUUAGACGAGAAGACCCCGUCGAGCUUUACUUUAAUCUAUUGAAUAUUCAGCUUCUAGGAAGAAGUUAAACUCAGAUAGAGAAAUAGUUUAGUUGGGGUGACUACCCAAAAUUUAGAAACUUGGGUGAACGAGAGUGAAUUAUAAAAUAAUUAGCUUUACUGAAGGGAGGACACUCCUCUCAGUCACAGAAUAGUGUGGGUUUUAGAGACCCGUUCAAUACAGUGGAACGAUAUCGAAUAAAAGCUACCGCGGGGAUAACAGGGUUAUUUAGUCCUAGAGCUCCUAUCGAAGGCUGAGUUUGCCACCUCGAUGUUGAAUAGCAGUUUCCUAAAGGUGUAGAAGCUUUUUAGGGUUGGUCUGUUCGACCAU
rnacentral:rRNA from 1 species